AGAGUUUGAUCAUGGCUCAGAAUCAACGCUGGCGGCGUGCCUAACACAUGCAAGUCGAACGAGAAAGUGGAGCAAUCCAUGAGUACAGUGGCGCACGGGUGAGUAACACGUGACUAACCUACCCUUGAGUGGGGGAUAACUGAGGGAAACCUUAGCUAAUACCGCAUAAUACCUACGGGUCAAAGGAGCAAUUCGCUUAAGGAGGGGGUCGCGGCCGAUUAGUUAGUUGGCGGGGUAAUGGCCCACCAAGACGAUGAUCGGUAUCCGGCCUGAGAGGGCGCACGGACACACUGGAACUGAAACACGGUCCAGACUCCUACGGGAGGCAGCAGUGGGGAAUUUUGCGCAAUGGGGGAAACCCUGACGCAGCAACGCCGCGUGGAGGAUGAAGUCCUUCGGGACGUAAACUCCUUUCGAUCGGGACGAUAAUGACGGUACCGGAAGAAGAAGCCCCGGCUAACUUCGUGCCAGCAGCCGCGGUAAUACGAGGGGGGCGAGCGUUGUUCGGAAUUAUUGGGCGUAAAGGGUGCGUAGGCGGUUUGGUAAGUCUUAUGUGAAAUCUAUGGGCUCAACUCAUAGACUGCAUGAGAAACUGCCGGGCUUGAGUGUGGGAGAGGUGAGUGGAAUUCCUGGUGUAGCGGUGAAAUGCGUAGAUAUCAGGAGGAACACCUGUGGCGAAAGCGGCUCACUGGACCACAACUGACGCUGAUGCACGAAAGCUAGGGGAGCAAACAGGAUUAGAUACCCUAGUAGUCC
rnacentral:rRNA from 1 species